CCUACGGGAGGCAGCAGUGGGGAAUAUUGCACAAUGGGGGAAACACUGAUGCAGCAACGCCGCGUGAAGGAAGACGGUUUUCGGAUUGUAAACUUCUAUCAAUAGGGAAGAAAGAAAUGACGGUACCUAAAUAAGAAGCCCCGGCUAACUACGUGCCAGCAGCCGCGGUAAUACGUAGGGGGCAAGCGUUAUCCGGAAUUACUGGGUGUAAAGGGAGAGUAGGCGGCAAGGUAAGCGAUAUGUGAAAGCCUUAAGCUUAACUUAAGGAUGGCAUAACGAACUAUCUAGCUAGAGUACAGGAGAGGAAAGCGGAAUGCCUAGUGUAGCGGUGAAAUGCGUAGAUAUUGGGAAGAACACCAGUGGCGAAGGCGGCUUUCUGGCCUGAAACUGACGCUGAGGCUCGAAAGCGUGGGGAGCGAACAGGAUUAGAUACCCCAGUAGUC
rnacentral:rRNA from 1 species